rnacentral:tRNA from 1 species
GCUCCGGUGGCGGAAAUGGCAGACGCACAAGGUUCAGGUCCUUGUGACCAUAGGGUCGUGUGGGUUCGAGUCCCACCCGGAGCA